rnacentral:lncRNA from 1 species
UCUCUUGUGGGAUGGAAAUCUGAUCUGGGUAUCCAUUCUUUCAGGACUUACUUUGAUAUGGCCUAACACAAGAGUCACAGAAAUGUGCCACUGAAGCAAACAUCUUACUAAUAGCAUAAUGGGCCUACCGCUGUAAUUUUCCAACUGGUUGGCCCACCUCCAUGCCAGAGUUGAAGGGAAUGAUGAAGUGUUCAUAAGAGAUAAAAGGGAGAUAUUUAGCAGGUGUUAAUUUGAAACAUCUUACAUUUCACUUCUCUAACCUCUGUUAUAGCCACUUAUAUACAUAUAUUUAUGAAUACUGUAUAUACAUGUAUGCCUCUGUAUUCACCAUGUAUACUGAAGUAAACCUCUCAAAAUGAUUGCCAGGCAGAAUCAAUGGCUUUGGUUCUAAUAUAAUGGGGAAAAGAUGUCUUUUCAGUAUAAGCGAAACCCAUAGCUUCCCCCUCUUCUUCUGCAUUAGAAAAGCUUCCGUCAGUUUGCCUGUCCUUUUAUCUCUUCAACUAAAUAAAAAACCUGACUAUGUGGAGAGCAGGCAAGAUUUCAGGGCACACACCUCAAACGAGCUGUUUAGAUUGUUAAAGGCCAACAGGAUCUACACACCUAUGUCACUGAUAAAUUCUACAAAUAAGAAAUAAAAAUAUCGUGGUGGGGUGGGGGCGGGGGUGG